UACGUAGGUGGCAAGCGUUUGUCCGGAUUUACUGGGCGUAAAGAGCGCGCAGGCGGUCGUGCAAGUCGCGUGUGAAAGCCCCCGGCUCAACUGGGGAGGGUCACGCGAUACUGCUCGACUCGAAGGCAGGAGAGGGAAGUGGAAUUCCCGGUGUAGUGGUGAAAUGCGUAGAUAUCGGGAGGAACACCAGUGGCGAAGGCGACUUCCUGGCCUGUUCUUGACGCUGAGGCGCGAAAGCUAGGGUAGCAAACGGG
rnacentral:rRNA from 1 species